CACCACCUCUUGUUUUCCCCGCCUAUAUACCACCGUCGUCAGCUUNNNNNNNGAAGGCCCGAUAGUAAGCAAAAUGGGUAAAACCCAAAACGUCAGGUCGAGGUGUAGCGCAUGGGGUGGGAAGAAAUGGGCUACAUUCUCUAAAUUAGAGCACUACGAACCACGUUGUGAAACCAACGUCCGAAGGUGGAUUUAGCAGUAAACAGAAAACAGAGAGUUCUCUUGAAACUGGCUCUGAGGCGCGCACACACCGCCCGUCACUCUCCCCAAGUUUAAUUUAUCCUUCUAACUAAGAAGUUAACCAAACAAAGGGGAGGCAAGUCGUAACAUGGUAAGUGUACCGGAAGGUGCGCUUGGAAUAAC
rnacentral:rRNA from 1 species